rnacentral:rRNA from 1 species
CCCUUAGAUGUCCUGGGCCGCACGCGCGCUACACUGAUGCAUUCAACGAGUUUUACCUUGGCCGAGAGGCCUGGGCAAUCUUUUAAACCUGCAUCGUGAUAGGGAUAGAUUAUUGCAAUUAUUAAUCUUGAACGAGGAAUUCCUAGUAAACGCAGAUCAUCAAUCUGCAUUGAUUACGUCCCUGCCCUUUGUACACACCGCCCGUCGCACCUACCGAUUGAAUGGUCCGGUGAAGCCUCGGGAUUGUGGCCAGUUCACUUUAUUGGGAGUUGGCUGCGAGAACUUGUCUAAACCUUAUCGUUUAGAGGAAGGUGAAGUCGUAACA